GUAGCCUCUGGGUGAGGACCGGGAUCACCUCCGCGGGUCCAUAGGGGGGGAACAGGGCCAGGCAGGAUAGUGGGGCAGUAGCAGUCUGCCCCGCUCACCGCCGGCGUAGGCCCCAACUUAGUCGUUGCGGGCCCCACCUCCUGGGGACUGAAGCUCAAGGAGCCAGCCUCUGCCAGGAUCCGGUGUCCUUGUGGCACUGAAGACCCUUGCUGCCGGUCAGUAGUUAGGUCUUUUGCCAUGGUUUAUAUGCUUAAUUGUGG